rnacentral:lncRNA from 1 species
CCCAGGUAGCGCUGGAUUCCCAGUUCCUGUAAAGGUAGAAAGGGAAAGUUGAGAGAUUUUUGCGAGCCCGUGGGAGCGGAUUGAAAGAACGCCCUGGCUCUACUGAAAAGAAGAUAUUCCUGUUCUAACCGUUCUAAGCGAGGAGGAGAGUGGAAAGCAUCUAACUGCCUUGCCUGGGAGUUUGCUCCAGUGGCUUGAGAAGCAGACACUACGGUUAGGAGAAUGUGCUGAGGAUUGUUUAUUUUCUACUGCAGUUGGUCCGCCUAUUGCUCCGCCCCCAACCAGCCACUCAUUGGUGAAGACUAAAGAAUGACGUCCUCUUUGGUGCGUGGGUAUCCUUAGGCUUUGGCUUCUUUCCCGCUGUUGAUUGGUAAUUGGAAUUGUUGGGUUCUUCCUGAUAGGUUAAUAUUUUUUCUUUGCGGUGCAGAAAUCGUAUUUCAAAACCUGAAUGUUCAGCGGUUUCCUAGUUCUUGUGUUUGUCUGAGGGGAACAUGUAAUUUCUGAGCCCCAGCAGCCAAUCAUCCUUUUCUUAGCGUUUUAGUGGGUUUUCUCCUAGCAUAUGCGUUUCCCGUAGCCAAGGUUUAGCCAUCUGUCUAAGGACAAUUAAAGUGUCUGGAAGAUACAGCGUUUUUAAAGCAAUCAUUUUGCCUUAAAAUUUUUUGUGAAGAUUUUUUUGCCGUCUAUUCAUAAUUGGGAAAUUAUCCUGGAAUGUUUCAGAAAGUGCCUUUAAUCAGGGUGAGCAUUGACUCACUAUAGUGUUGGGUCUCAGGAUAUACUACACCAUAACAUGACUUUAGGAAACCAGAUUGUGCCUUGCUAAAAUAUGCCCCUCUGGCAUAUUGAUUAUUUUGAGCUAAAAACCUUGAGAACCAACCAACACAAGAAAAGCUCGUGAGCUCCCUUCCACUGCCUAAAAUACAAAACAACCCUUUUGUAAAGAGAAAUAUACAUCUAU